CCUACGGGAGGCUGCAGUGGGGGAUAUUGCACAAUGGGGGAAACCCUGAUGCAGCGACGCCGCGUGUGGGAAGACGGUCCUCUGGAUUGUAAACCACUGUCCCCAGGGACGAAGAUGACGGUACCUGGGGAGGAAGCUCCGGCUAACUACGUGCCAGCAGCCGCGGUAAUACGUAGGGAGCGAGCGUUGUCCGGAAUUACUGGGUGUAAAGGGAGCGUAGACGGUUGUGCAAGUCUGAAGUGAAAGCCCGCGGCUCAACUGCGGAACGGCUUUGGAAACUGUGUAACUGGAGUGCUGGAGAGGUAAGCGGAAUUCCUGGUGUAGCGGUGAAAUGCGUAGAGAUCAGGAGGAACACCGGCGGCGAAGGCGGCUUACUGGACAGUAACUGACGUUGAGGCUCGAAAGCGUGGGGAGCAAACAGGAUUAGAUACCCCAGUAGUC
rnacentral:rRNA from 1 species